rnacentral:rRNA from 1 species
UACGUAGGGUGCAAGCGUUGUCCGGAAUUAUUGGGCGUAAAGAGCUCGUAGGCGGCUUGUCGCGUCUGCUGUGAAAACCCGAGGCUCAACCUCGGGCCUGCAGUGGGUACGGGCAGACUAGAGUGCGGUAGGGGAGAUUGGAAUUCCUGGUGUAGCGGUGGAAUGCGCAGAUAUCAGGAAGAACACCCGUGGCGAAGGCGGCUCUCUGGGACGGUACUGACGCUGAGACGCGAAAGCGUGGGGAGCGAUCCGG